rnacentral:lncRNA from 1 species
CCCUAAUGUCUUCUAAGGCUCCAACUAUUUCAAGGGAAAGGAAGCACUCCAGUGCCAAUGCCAACUCCACCGGCAGAACCACCACCAACGCCGCCACCAGCACCACCGCCAACGCCGCCACCCACGCCACCAACUCCACCAAGCCCACUUGAACCACCGAGCCCACUAGCACCACCGAGGCCACCGACUCCACCAAUUCCUCCAAGCCCACCAGCACCACCGAGGCCAGUAAUCCCACCAAGACCUCCAACUCCACCAAACGGAAGCCCAUUAGAACCAAUGCCGGAGAAGCCACCAACACCACCGUAUGUUAGAAAGUUCUUUUGAUCAUCAAGGCCAGCAUCAGUGGGCGCACUUUUGGCAGUGUUAUGAACCACUUGAUCAUCAUGAUCACUAGGCGUAUUUCUUGCACUAGUGUGAACCGCUGCUACAGCAAGAACAAGCAUGACAUUGGCACACCACUUUGCCAUCUCUCUCAAAGAUUAUUAUUAUUUGAUUACUAUUAUGAAUUUUUCUUCUUAGUACAUGUGAACUAUUGUUGCGGGAGUCUCCUUAUAAAGGCUAAGAGGGCAUUGGGGAGGUAGUUGUGGGUAGUAAAUAGAAUUGAAUGCGGGCAACUUAGCUGGCACACUCGCUCAUAAGGUCUGCUGUUUGAAAUAUAUAUUUUCAAGGAUUUGUGCUUAGAGUAAAAUUGUUAUAGGAGUCAUCGUAAUGGUUUAAACGCCUGCUGUACGGCCAAGGCGGAUGUACGGUACAGCAGAAAUUUUGUUUUCAGAAGUACUGCAAGUUUUAAAAACAAUUAUGGACGUUUGAUAAAUUUUACUAUUAAACUGCUGAGAGUAAGUAAAUGAUUAAAAUAUAAAUAAUAUAGGAUAAAAUUUACUUAUACAUGUGAAAACACGUACACACAAUAUUUUUAAUUUUGUAUGAUGAUAAUUUUAACUAAAAAUAAAAUUUAUAAUAUAUAUUGAUUUUAUUUUUUAUCGUAAACAAUUGAUAAUUAAAUUUAUAAUAUAGUGAAACAAAUUUAAUAAUAAAUCGACCAACAAAUAUUGAUGAAUCAUAAUAAAAAUUUACUAAAAUAUUGGUUUUGUUUCCAAUUGAAUAAGAAUAAUUUUGGGUUUAGGUAAUAAUUUUAAAGAUAUUGAUGGAAUUGUAUUAAAGGAUAAAAUUGAUUUUUAAAAUCAGAAUCUAAAAGCUACUUCUUACUUACUUUUCAAAAUCAUCUGUAGUAGAGGCUGAUUUUGACAAAAGUGAUUUUGAUUUUUUUUUUUUACCAAACACUAAAAUUAACUUUUAGAUUUUUAAAAUUAGUUUUAAAUCUCCUAAAAGCAAUCCCAAAUAGAGCCUAACUCUAUUAUAAAUUCUUAAUUAAUAGCUCAUCUAAUAUUUGGUGUUAAAACAUGGACAAAAUAUCACAAAUUGGUAGGUAAAUUUGGACAUUUCAUUUCCACGACAUAUAGUCAAGUUUAAGGCUGUGGCCCGACAAAUUAAUGACCUUACUUUGCUUAGUGUAACGUAAUGCAUGAGCUUCGAUAACUUCAUAUGUAAACUUUAGUUGCUUUCGUUAAAGUUCUAUAACAUCAGUCAUCUCCAUUUAAAAGACAGAAGAAGAAGAAGAUAAAACACGCGAUUUAAUUAUUUACGUCGAAUAUCUCUGAAGUAGAGAAUUACAUUACAAUAACAUACCAAAAGCUCUCAAAACUAAAACUCAAAAGCAAACAGUAACUGAAACCAAAGUAAACGAACUAUCACACGAACAUGGCAUUAAAACUAAACUUUCUUAAUAACGCGCACGGGAAUAACGUGCACGGGAAACCCUCAAACAGGAAAAACCUUGAUUAAUUAAAAGCAAGUAAAGAAGCCCUAAUGUCUUCUAAGGCUCCAACUAUUUCAAGGGAAAGGAAGCACUCCAGUGCCAAUGCCAACUCCACCGGCAGAACCACCACCAACGCCGCCACCAGCACCACCUCCAACGCCGCCGCCACCGCCAACGCCGCCACCCACGCCACCAACUCCACCAAGCCCACUUGAACCACCGAGCCCACUAGCACCACCGAGGCCACCGACUCCACCAAUUCCUCCAAGCCCACCAGCACCACCGAGGCCAGUAAUCCCACCAAGACCUCCAACUCCACCAAACGGAAGCCCAUUAGAACCAAUGCCGGAGAAGCCACCAACACCACCGUAUGUUAGAAAGUUCUUUUGAUCAUCAAGGCCAGCAUCAGUGGGCGCACUUUUGGCAGUGUUAUGAACCACUUGAUCAUCAUGAUCACUAGGCGUAUUUCUUGCACUAGUGUGAACCGCUGCUACAGCAAGAACAAGCAUGACAUUGGCACACCACUUUGCCAUCUCUCUCAAAGAUUAUUAUUAUUUGAUUACUAUUAUGAAUUUUUCUUCUUAGUACAUGUGAACUAUUGUUGCGGGAGUCUCCUUAUAAAGGCUAAGAGGGCAUUGGGGAGGUAGUUGUGGGUAGUAAAUAGAAUUGAAUGCGGGCAACUUAGCUGGCACACUCGCUCAUAAGGUCUGCUGUUUGAAAUAUAUAUUUUCAAGGAUUUGUGCUUAGAGUAAAAUUGUUAUAGGAGUCAUCGUAAUGGUUUAAACGCUUGGGGUACCAGCUGAAAGAAAGUUACUGCGAUGGCCAGAGUGGCAAAUGCAGAAAUAAACAUGCAUGCCAGAUAUGGUGGUGACAAAUGAAAUGCUGAUUAGGGAUGUGGCGUUCGGGCAUGUGAUAUGCAGAGAAACAUUUGCCCAACCAAUCAAGUAAUUACAUUUGGUUGGAAGAAAAGGGCCGAUGUGAAGUGAUUGACUCAAUUCUGGGCAUUAUUAAUUUCCUGGACCAUUUCCAAUGACAUGAAAAAUUUUAAACUGUGUGUGACAAGGAACCUUACCUUUUGAGUUUUGAGAGGAAAUGCAAAUCCUAAUUAAGCUGUGAAAAAGUAAAAUUAAAUGUUCUUGCGUUGCGGAGAAUUAAGUAAAAAGUCAUCGAGCCUUUUCACUGAGCUGUAGUCCAUAACUCAUAAUACGUAGUAGCACGUGGUCAAUUCUAAACAUCAAUUUUUUUUUAUUAAAAAAAACUCUAAACAUUGAAUUAAUUUGCAAGAAAUAUUUCUUUUUUUUUUUUCAUCUUGGUAUUAGACUUCUAUAUCAAACAUUUUCUACUGUCAUUAUACUUUUUAUUCUACUAAUUAAUUUGCUUAUCUAAUCUAAAAGAAAAAAAAUUCUUAUCUCAACUAAAUUUGCGUGUUUUGGUUACUUUACUCACUCACUUUGUCAAUCUAGUUUUCUCUAACUAAAGACUUUUAGUUAACAUGUACUGACACAUUAAUUUAAUGGUAAAAUCUGUCCAAUCCUUUGGGACCAUCGUAAUUCAAGAGUUUGGAAAAAGUUAAACACUAUUUGCACACAAAAUUAUAAAUAAAAAUGAAUUAAUAAAUUUGUACAAUUUUAUAUGCAAGUAGCAUUACUCAUGGCAAAAUUUGAAGCAGUUAAUGGUUUUAUAUAGGGUAAGUUGAUUAUUAAAGAAUUAGAUUGUUUUGUUAAAUCUGAUUGGUGGUUAUUAAAUAUAAAGUUUCCAUUCAAUAUUUUAAUUUACUGUUGAGUUGCAUUAAAUAUUGGUUGGUCAAUGGAAGUCAGCUGCUAAAUUCAAUGUCGACCUACAUUCAAUCUCUACCUAACAAGUUUAAUUUGGGAUCGGAUACCUGCACAUUCUAAGUCCACCCCAAAUAUUACACUCCACCAUUCCCAACUCUUUACACCUAAAUUGAGAAAAUCGUUUGGAGAAAAUAUUGGUCAACACUAAUUGAAUCGUUGACUUAAACUAUAGGAAAUAAUAGAACAUUUACAACUGAGAAAAGUUUAGUAACACGACACAUAAAUUCUCCACCAGUUUUAUUUUUUCCUCUAUGUAUAGUAGUGUCUUUCAGCUAUAGGAUCAUUUUUCUAAUAUAUAAAUUAUCAUUAAAAUACAUGCUUAUUGAUAACGUAUUAUCAGUUUUGAUAUUCAGUUAUUGAUUCACCGAUCAUCCAAUUGAAGAAACGUGUUUUCAUUUCUUGAAUAAAACAUUAUACACUGAGAGUUAUUUAUAGAUGCAGAUGCUACAUUUUUUCAAAGAUUACAUAUGUAAAUACGGAAGGAAAUAGGUCUGUGUUGUGCGCGAGAGCUGGGCUGACGCUGGUGCUGCGUUGCGUUGCGCGCGCGGGACUGAUGUACUGCGCGAGGGUGAUUGCUGGAUUGAUUUGCGCUGUGCGCGCGAGCUGGAGCUGAGGAUCUGCGUUGCUAGGCGUUACUGCUGCUGCUUCGCGGGAUGUGUUGCGUGCACGGUUGCUGCUGAUUUCGCACAAUGGUGAUGGCUGGGGCUUGCUGCGUUGCACGCGGCUGCUUUCGCUGGUGGGACUUCGUUGCGCGCUGCUGGGCUGCGAGACACGGGAUGCUGGUGUUGCGCUCACGAGAUGGUGCGUUUUCCGGCGGGCUGGUUUGCUGCUGGUGUGCUGCAAGCGGCUGGAGAAGAAAACAAGUUCUGGAAAAUUAGGGAUUUUGUGAACAGUGAAUAGUGAACAGUGAUUUUCGAUUUUUGGUUUUUUUUUAAAUAAAUAAACAUAAUCAUUAAAGAACAUAUAUGGGAAUUAAAUAAAUAAAUAAAAUAAUUAUUUCAUUGAAUAGGGUUUCAUCUUUAACCUCAGUAUAAGAAAAUUAGCUGGACAUACUUAAAUUGGGAGCAACAAAAAAAAUAAAAUCAGCCAUGGGAAGCCGAAAUAUUGCUGCUGCAACUGGUCUCUUCCAACCUGACAUACUUGAAUUGGGAGCAACAAAAGAAAUAAAAUCAGCCAUGGGAAGCUUCCUUUUCCAAUUAUGAAACAAAGCUUCCAUAAUAACGCCAGCCAUUAAUUCCACUUUUGAAAGUCAAGUGUGGGCCCCAUUUAAAUUGCUUUCCCCUUUUGCAAUGCUAUGGACGUGCAACUCAAUUGGAGAAUUGAAAUUCUUUUUCAAUGCAAAUUGCUCUUAGCUCUUAACUCUAUCACAGCUUCAACUAAUAUUUCUCUAAAUUAUUAUUUUUUUUGCACUUUUUAUUUCCAAUCUCCAAUUAAUUUCCUAUUCAAUAAAACAAUUCAAUUAAUUAAAAAUAACAAAUAAAAUUAACUAGCAAAUAUACAAUAAAGGGUAAAAUAUGUAUAUAAAUUAUGCUCAUCACAUUGCUUAAUAUUUAUUAUUAUGGUUGGUUGAAUUAUAUACAUGGCAAUUAAUGAAUGAAAAUACAGGUGCUCCUGAAUCCCAAAACAUUUCCACGACAUAUAGUCAAGUUUAAGGCUGUGGCCCGACAAAUUAAUGACCUUACUUUGCUUAGUGUAACAUAAUGCAUGAGCUUCGAUAACUUCAUAUGUAAACUUUAGUUGCUUUAGCUAAGGUUCUAUAACAUCAGUCAUCUCCAUUUAAAAGACAGAAGAAGAAGAUAAAACACGCGAUUAAAUUAUUUACGUCGAAUAUCUCUGAAGUAGAGAAUUACAUUACGAUAACAUACCAGAAGCUCUCAAAGCUAAAAAUCAAAAGCAAACAGUAACUGAAGCCGAAGUAAACGAACUAUCACACGAACAUGACAUUAAACUAAACUUUCUUAAUAACGUGCACGGGAAACCCUCAAACAGGAAAAACCUUGAUUAAUUAAAAGCAAGUAAAGAAGCCCUAAUGUCUUCUAAGGCUCCAACUAUUUCAAUGGAAAGGAAGCACUCCGGUGCCAGUGCCAACUCCACCGGCAGAACCACCACCAACGCCGCCACCAGCACCACCGCCAACGCCGCCACCCACGCCACCAACUCCACCAAGCCCACUUGAACCACCGAGACCACCGACUCCACCAAUUCCUCCAAGCCCACCAGCACCACCGAGGCCAGUAACGCCAGCAAGACCUCCAACUCCACCAAGCGGAAGCCCAUUAGAACCAAUGCCGGAGAAGCCACUGACACCACCGUAUGUUAGAAAGUUCUUUUGAUCAUCAAGGCCAGCACCAGAGGGUGCAUUUUUGGCAGCGUUAUGAACCACUUGAUCAUCAUGAUCACUAGGCGUGUUUCUUGCACUAGUGUGAACCGCUACUACAGCAAGAACAAGCAUGACAGUGACACACCACUUUGCCAUCUCUCUAUAAGAUU